GCUGGGUGUGGUGGCGCACACCUGUAGUCCCAGCUACUCGGGAGGCUGAGGCAGGAGAAUCACUUGAACCCGGGAGGCAGAGGUUGCAGUGAGCCGAGAUCGUGCCACUGCACUCCAGCCUGGGUGACAGAGCGAGACACUGUCUCAA
rnacentral:SRP_RNA from 2 species